rnacentral:rRNA from 1 species
CACAGCGGCGAUAGCACGAUGAAUAAACCAGUUACCUACCAAUGGAUCACUAAAGUUAAACAACUUUGCGCGUGAUUAAUAUCCGGAUGGGUGACCAUUUGGACAAUUGCGGGCUUCUAGCU